CAGAUGAAGGAAUGGAGUGACAGGAGUUCCGAGGUAGGGAAAAUACCAGAUAAAGGGUUUUUCUGUCUUGCCCCAAAAAGGAAUAAUUCUCCAAACGGUUUCCACCUCCUGGCAUCCCUACAUAUUUGUCCUGUGGUAGGGGUCUGACAAACAACUCUUGAUCGAAUGACUGCAUCUUCACAAACCUCUAAGUGUUCCCUGAGAAGGACUUUCGCUGUUUUCAGGAAUGGGAGCAGCUUCCUGAGACUUCUAAUCUCUGUGUUGCCUCAUCCACCCCAGGUGGCUUCCCUGCCUCUUCUGUUACCUGGGUAACCAACUCCCCGCAUUGCAUUCCCUGAC